UUGGUUAAGGGCUUGUAAGUAAGCAUGUGACAAAUAAGAUUUGAUUUUGGAUCAAGUUGUACAAACAUCUUAAGGAUGAUCAAAGGAAACAGGAUGCACCUGAGCUCAAUUUUGAGUUUCAUACUGUAAAUAAAGUAUUUGUUUUAUAUUUAAUAAAUUUGCAAACAUUUCUAAACUUGUUUUCGCUUUGUCAUUAUGGGGUAUUCUGUGUAGAUUGAUGAGAAAAUAUUAGAUUAAAUUAUUUUAGAAUAAGGCUGUAACAAAAUGUGGGAAAAGGGAAGGGGUCUGAAUACUUUUCUAAUGGACUGUACCACAGAAUGAACACAACAGGAAGUACACACUUUUCCAUUAUUCAUUUGAUAUAUUUUUGAAAUAUUUUUUUUUAUAUUUUGAAAUGAGUAGAAAGAAACUAGUUGGGGGGAGGGGGGGCACAUUGUGAAUUUCAGUUUUUUUUAACUUGCUUUUAGCACUAUGCUUUAAAUACCACUUCCAAGUGGCUUUAAUAAAGACAGAGUCUUUCGUUUGAUGUUUUUGUUGAUCUUUUGCAUAAUUUCACCAGAACCUUAAUAUAUGCUUUGUCACAGAUGUGUCAUGGGAUGCUACAACAUUGUCUGCUUCCUUGCUCAUGGUCUCAACAGUCGAGAUGUUGUUCUGUAUACCAGGUGUGCUGGAUGUCAACUGUUUGUGUAUCAUGUCUAGCCACAAUACAAAAAUCAUGAUAUGAAGAUUGAUUUAAGAGUUUGUUUCCCAUGUGGUUUUAGAUUAUUUGUUUUUAUUUAACCAGGACAAGACCCUUGAGGUUAGAAACCACUUUCUCAAGGGGGACCUGGAAACUAUGGUGUCUAUCUUGGGCGAUGGGAAGGUUAAAGGCAAAGAGCUCUCACUCUUAGGUGCUGUGAUGGCGAGCCUUGUGUAAUGCACACUGCACCCUUAUAUUGGGAUUUCCUCGCAACAGAUGGCUCCCGUUCGCCUCAGCUCUGGAUCCAUCUGCCAAAGCAGGAGAAAAAGACAAAGGAGUGCACAGCGUGAGCGGAUAAGGAUUGGCAGGCUGUGGGCUGAAACUAUACUUAUCGUUUUUUGAAUCUCUGGUUUUGACCUGCUCCGAUCGACACGCUCCCUGCCAGAGCCACUACACGCUUAAAUAAAAAAGGGGCUAGCUAGUACCUAAAUGGGUUAUUCGGCUGUACCCAUAGGGUUUUACCUGGAACAAAAAAAGCUUCUACUUGGAACCAAAAACAGUUAUCCUAUGGGGACAGCCGAAGAACCCUUUUUUAAAGAGUGCAGCCUUCUCUUCAGACCAGUCUUUAUCAUCAUAAACUCCCCUCUACUCAAUAGCUCUCAGUAUGAUAUGACCACUGCAUUGAAGCCAUUGGGUUGUUCUUGAAUUGUGGAGGUAUUUUCAUCCCUUGGCUUUGUAAUCAUAAAAAUGUAAAGACAAUUACACAUCAUACAUGUUUUUGUUUAUAUUUUACGCUGUUUAUCAAUGAUAACAUAAGUCCUUUAUACUGCAAAACUAUGUUAAUGCAAAGUGUCUUGUGUAGAGUUGUUGUGAAAUGUUUUGGGGAUUUAGAGACAUCUAUUAUUUAGAAUUCUAGAAAGUGAACGAAAGUAUUUCAUAUUGUAUAGAUCAAAAAAUUAAAAUACCUAUUUUCGGCUAGUAUAAUUAAUGUCUGUCACUCAGUUUUAUGUAAUUGGUGUUACCAUCUUGAAAAUCACAAUUCUCUCCAGUGGAAAACUGUAUCAGGGGAGGGGUCUAUAUUAAAGAAAAUUGUUAGCUAAUCACA